UACGUAGGGUGCAAGCGUUGUCCGGAAUUAUUGGGCGUAAAGAGCUUGUAGGCGGUUUGUCGCGUCUGCUGUGAAAUUUCGGGGCUCAACCCCGAACUUGCAGUGGGGUACGGGCAGACUAGAGUGUGGUAGGGGAGACUGGAAUUCCUGGUGUAGCGGUGAAAUGCGCAGAUAUCAGGAGGAACACCGAUGGCGAAGGCAGGUCUCUGGGCCAUAACUGACGCUGAGAAGCGAAAGCAUGGGGAGCGAACAGG
rnacentral:rRNA from 1 species